rnacentral:misc_RNA from 1 species
CCCAUUACAAACAAGCCUCCGGCUCCGAGGGAGACCCGUCUCCCCCGGAAACCGCCGUGCUUUCAGCAGGUGUGUUAGCGGCCCCCCGGAGUCUUCGGGGCGGUGAAGGAGGGCUUUGCCCUCCGCGCGCACAUGCGUCUGAAUACCCUUUUUUCUACGAGUACCUCUUGUUCUCCUUCGGUGGGGCAACCUGCCGUUGGAACCUCAAAACGAACCUUUUAUGCAUUUGCCAUUACCCGUUCUGAUAACAACAAUCGUUUA